GACGAACGCUGGCGGCGUGCCUAAUACAUGCAAGUAGAACGCUGAAGAGAGGAGCUUGCUCUUCUUGGAUGAGUUGCGAACGGGUGAGUAACGCGUAGGUAACCUGCCUGGUAGCGGGGGAUAACUAUUGGAAACGAUAGCUAAUACCGCAUAACAACAGUUGUUGCAUGACAGCUGUUUAAAAGAUGCAAUUGCAUCACUACCAGAUGGACCUGCGUUGUAUUAGCUAGUUGGUGAGGUAACGGCUCACCAAGGCGACGAUACAUAGCCGACCUGAGAGGGUGAUCGGCCACACUGGGACUGAGACACGGCCCAGACUCCUACGGGAGGCAGCAGUAGGGAAUCUUCGGCAAUGGGGGGAACCCUGACCGAGCAACGCCGCGUGAGUGAAGAAGGUUUUCGGAUCGUAAAGCUCUGUUGUAAGAGAAGAACGGGUGUGGGAGUGGAAAGUUCACACUGUGACGGUAUCUUACCAGAAAGGGACGGCUAACUACGUG
rnacentral:rRNA from 1 species